rnacentral:rRNA from 1 species
AAGGGGUCCUUCGGGGCCCCGGAGACCGGCGGAUGGGUGAGUAACGCGUAGGUAAUCUGCCUUUAGCACGGGAAUAACCCACCGAAAGGUGAGCUAAUGCCCGAUGAUGCAGCGGCCCCGCAUGGGGACAGUUGUUAAAGCCUUCGGGCGGCUAAAGAUGAGCCUGCGUGCCAUUAGUUAGUUGGUAGGGUCAAAGCCUACCAAGACGAUGAUGGCUAGGGGGUCUGAGAGGACGGCCCCCCACACUGGGACUGAGACACGGCCCAGACUCCUACGGGAGGCAGCAGUGAGGAAUCUUGCGCAAUGGGGGCAACCCUGACGCAGCCACGCCGCGUGCUGGAAGACGGCCCUAUGGGUUGUAAACAGCUUUUACCAGGAAAGAACCUGGGCCUUUCGAGGCCCACUGACGGUACCUGGUGAAUAAGCACCGGCUAACUCCGUGCCAGCAGCCGCGGUAAUACGGAGGGUGCAAGCGUUGUCCGGAAUUAUUGGGUGUAAAGGGUGCGCAGGCGGAAGCCUAAGUCGAGGGUGAAAGACGGCCGCUCAACGGUCGCAGUGCCUUCGAUACUGGGUUUCUUGAGUCCGGAAGAGGCUGGUGGAACUGGUGGUGUAGCGGUGAAAUGCAUAGAGAUCACCAGGAACACCGGUGGCGAAGGCGGCCAGCUGGUCCGGCACUGACGCUGAGGCACGAGAGCGUGGGGAGCGAAC